rnacentral:rRNA from 1 species
UACAGAGGAUGCAAGCGUUAUCCGGAAUGAUUGGGCGUAAAGCGUCUGUAGGUGGCUUUUAAGUCCGCCGUCAAAUCCCAGGGCUCAACUCUGGACAGGCGGUGGAAACUACCAAGCUUGAGUACGGUAGGGCAGAGGGAAUUUCCGGUGGAGCGGUGGAAAUGCGUAGAGAUCGGAAAGAACACCAACGGCGAAAGCACUCUGCUGGGCCGACACUGACACUGAGAGACGAAAGCUAGGGGGAGCGAAUGGG